GAGCCCGGCGGUGUCCCUGUGCUCGGAGCCCCCAGACCCGAGCGUCUCCCCUCAGUCCUGACGCUGCUUUUCGUCUUUUCCGAUCAAUCAGAGGGAAUUUCCCCAUUCCUCCCCGUCCCCAUAGUCUGCGAGGGCAGGGUGUGGGCUUUCUGAAAAAGUAACUGCUGUAAAACCGCUCCGCAUCUAUCCAGAUAAAUCCGGGGCAAUGAUGGUCCUCGAUGACGGCUGGAGAGUGAAAUAAGGGCGAACAUUCUGUGUUGUUACUUGAACUAAGACCGAACAAGAAAAGUUGAGCCCUGUGAAACGCUGUUUGCAGUUUGUCUUGAAACCUAGAGAAAAAGGCAUGUGAUUCAGCAUCCUGGACAUAAGCAGGCAGAAUGAAAGGUGGAAGAAUUUUCACUUUUCUGGCCUUUUCCUGAUGACAGUGGCUUUGACUGGGGGCCCUGAUCUCCCAAACACUGAUUGUCUUAUGUUCCUCAAUUCUGAAAACCUUCAAGCAUACAGUCAGGUAUCCUGCCAGCAGCUCUGCAGCAGUCAAUGCUUUUGCAAUACCGGGCUCUGCUCAUUUCAAAACUGUGAAGCAAUCCAGCUUAGCAGUCAGCAGAGUGUAAAACUGAAUAGUAGGAAGCAUUGGAGACCACCUACUCCAGUUUCGAGCAGAAGAAAACCUUAAAACUUCAAGGAUCAGAAUACUGGGACAUCUCCAUUGACAGGAAAUCUAACAGGUAGAGACAGGAAAAAAAUUAGGAGAUGAAUACACAAGAAGAGUUCUGCUGUACGGUGCAAAUUGCCCGCUGUGGUACCAGACAGCCCUUGUUGAUCAUAUUCUUUCCCUGAAUAUGAAACAUGGCAACCCACUGCACUAGGGCUCAGGAUUGAUAUUGCUGUCCUGCAAGGAUAAUUGGGAAUUUACCAAACCAGAGCAACAGAUGCCUUGAGAGACGCAAGUAUCUUUCAGGAGAUGCCUUAUCAUGUAUCUGUCAUAAAGCCAAAGUAGGAGCAACUGUUCAUUCUAAGAUGCAUAAAGCAACUUUCCAAGAUGAUGCUCUAAGAAGAGCACUGAAGAGCUCUGAAGAGCUUGAAGGUGGCAGGUAGGGGUGGCACACCUGAACUGCUCCUGGCUGCCCUGGAACAUCCCACUGAAGAUAACAUUUAUGGAAAUGCAAGGAAAAUAAUUGCUCCACCUUGCAGGUACAAAAUAAGAUGCCAUGUUCCUCACAGCGGCCAGAGUUGACAUGGAUGAACAGCUCUCCCAGAGGGACCUGCUUCCCUAUGGGAAGAUGCCCAGGACAAUAAUGUUUCUGCUAGUAGAGCUGAGGGGAAAGGCCAUAUUUGGGACCUGAUGUUAGGUCAGAAUUGGAGCUGGAACUUUGAAUACCAUUUUUUCCCCCCCAAAAUGGUCCUGUAUUCUACUCUCUCAGCCUUGUCCUCAGCUAACGUGUUGCAGUAUUGCUUAGAGAUGAGCUGCGCUGAUGCCACUGCUGUACUCUUGCUGGUUUGGAGCAUGGGGUCUGCCUGGCCAGGUCCAGGAGGAGCUGGGAAGAUGGACUGGCUUGCAGUGCUGUUUGAAAGCUGCACAGACCUCUUUCCUAGCAGAAUGUUUAAUGGAAUCUGCUUCCUUGAAACCAAAAUGAGGCAACAGCUGUGAUUGCAGCAAGCUGCAACAUCUCAUUGCUGGAUGGAGGCACAUCCUGUUACAAGUGGCGCUGCUGUAAAACCCCAGCAAAAGAACCUACUGAGACCUGCCUGGUUGGGGGCUGUGAACUCCCUUGAGGCCUCAAGAAGAAGCUUGGAAUGUGGUGCCAGCACAACAGCAGACAGUGAGAGAAACUGAGGCAAGCACCUCCAAGAUAAGUAAUAAAUGAUAAUUGUUAUUUCCUAUUAUUAAUCUGAAUCUCUACUCCUGAGAAUUUGAGUUAAAUCCUAAAUUUUCCUUUUAUUUUUAAGCAGAUCAUCCAGCAAGUUAGAAAACAGCAACACAAGGAGGUCCUAAGAUAGGGUUUGCUCCAGUUUUCCUGCUGAGCAUCUGUUUAGGAAUUGCUGCUAAAAAAAGUCAGAGGGGAUGGUAGUUGCUGUGCUGUCACAUGGGCUGAUACAGCACAGAAUCUGCUUAGCAUUCUUGAAGGGAAAUUAUCCAGUGCUGUAACUCACAAUUUAUAAUUGGUUGCAUAUUAAUAUCUAAAAAAGGCAAUAAAAUCCACUGUGUGUUUAAAAAAAAUAGUAAGUAGGAGUAUUACAAGCUGAGCAGUGAAAAUCUGGAAGACUUCUUGGCUAGAGCAGGGCUGUGUGCAGUGCUGUUUCUCCCUUAAUUACAAGCAAUUUUAAAUCAUCUCCUUCCUUCAAAGAAGGAUUUUGUUCAGGGUUUGUGUUAAUUUUAAUCUUGCUAACGUGAUACUCUCUUGGAACCUCUCCCUUGUGUCAUAACAGUGAGAUGUGCUGCCUCUUUUGUCCCUGCCCUUUGGGAAAUGCAGUUACUGCUGCUCGUUGCCUCAACCCUGCCGUCGUGACUAUCAGUGUACCUCCCUUGAAAGGAGAAGAAAACAAAACCCAACUGCAGCAUUGCUUUCCCCCCCCCAGAGGAUGGAUUACAAAGCCCUCACUGAGUUUCUGCCCACACUUGUCACUAGAGGAUAAGUAAGUUUGGGUUUUUGUCAAGCCCUGUGUGAAUGACCCGUUAACUCCAGAGGAACUGGGAUGCCUUGAGUGACACUCUGCGAGCUGGAUUGCACUGAGACUUCUGCAUUUCAGGAAUGUGACUCCUGUCCUUGACCUGGUCUGCAGAUAAAUACAACAUGCCCCUUAGUGCUGAGUGGUUUGGGAAGAAUGUCAGCCAGACAAGAGAGGGGAGAUAAAGGAAAGACAGGCUAUGAUAGGAACUGGGCUGUCUGAUUCUGCAAUGUGGGAAUCGCCUUUUCUCAGCUGCCAGUGUCAAAGUCAAGCUUGCAUUGCACAAAUAAAAUGGGGUAUUCCACACACACACCUGCACCCUUUCAAUUGUCACUGACAUUUAGCAGAGGGAAUAUUCAAAACAUUAUUCCCUCCAAUACAGAAUGGCUGUUGGGUGUUACCAGAUCACAUAAAAAGACAUCUGAGUGGAGUUUUUCCAGCAACAAACAAGAAACAAAGGGAGGAUUAAAAAAAUGUUUUGCUAUGUAUACUGUUAUGAUUUUUUUGGUGAAUAUAUAUAUAUAUAAAUUGAUGUUGAGAUGUGAAGAAACAAAGAAAAAGAGCAGGCAAGUGUGCUACCAUAAAAUGUAGCAUGACUUGUUACAGAACUGAAUGUUACAGGGUCAAGCAUCAGGUAGGGACAUGUGUUGGGGACCAGGAUGGUACUUUACAUUUAUUACUGAGGUCAGUACAAAUUCUCCACUACCUUAAUUAACGUGGGAUCAAAGGUUUGAUGAGAUCUAGAAAUCCAAACACAUUUAAAAUGUGGCAGGUGUGGGUAACCUCAAGUACACAGCCCAUUGCCUCAGAAAGAGGAAUGUUCUUGCAAAUUUGACAUAAUCCAAUUAGUUGAUUCCCUCAGUGACAUUUCUGCAGGCUCAUGUACAGAGGGACAAGGAAAGGGAGAUUUAUGACAGCUAUUCCUAGCAAAGGUCAUUUCUUUAUUAGUGAACAACCUGUCCUUAGUCAUGCUGAUGACGAGGCGUUGAAGGAUAAGGGAGAGGCUGUGUAGCUUUAAAACUUGACAGGGAAUAACAGCAAUAGAGCAUAGAUCAUCUCUCUACUUGGACCAGGAGGACUAAAAUCUCCCACCAUUAGGCCAAAGCCAGAGAGCAGGAGGCAAAAUCCAGGAAAAAAAAUACAUGGGGAUUUCUGUGGAGAUUGUGAAGGAGUUUGGGUGGUUCAGUGUCAGCACAGCAGGGGGGAAAGAGGAGCCACAGAGCAUGAAUAUGUGUUUUUGGAUAGGAUGAGUGUCCUUGGUGGAACUAGCUGCUUAUAAAGAACCUGGUAUGGUUGCUCUGGGGAAUCCCUGGUCAGCACUGCCAACUUCCCAGCUUGAGCAGCUCUCAGCAUCCUGUUCCAUGCCAUUUCCAGAACAACACAGAUGAGAGCAUGCUCAAAUAUAUACAAAUACACUUCCUCGGCUGUCCUUCCAUAGGCAAGGAAAGCACAAGAUUUGACAGGAAUAUGGUUUCAGUAGAUUGUGACAUACACAUUAUGUGUUUUUAAAUAAUAAACCAGCAUCUACCUAUUCAUCAAGUAACUAUUUU